rnacentral:rRNA from 1 species
GAUGAACGCUGGCGGCGUGCCUAAUACAUGCAAGUCGAGCGAACAGACGAGGAGCUUGCUCCUCUGACGUUAGCGGCGGACGGGUGAGUAACACGUGGAUAACCUACCUAUAAGACUGGGAUAACUUCGGGAAACCGGAGCUAAUACCGGAUAAUAUAUUGAACCGCAUGGUUCAAUAGUGAAAGACGGUUUUGUUGUCACUUAUAGAUGGAUCCGCGCCGCAUUAUCUAGUUGGUAAGGUAACGGCUUACCAAGGCAACGAUGCGUAGCCGACCUGAGAGGGUGAUCGGCCACACUGGAACUGAGACACGGUCCAGACUCCUACGGGAGGCAGCAGUAGGGAAUCUUCCGCAAUGGGCGAAAGCUUGACGGAGCAACGCCGCGUGAGUGAUGAAGGUCUUCGGAUCGUAAAACUCUGUUAUUAGGGAAGAACAAAUGUGUAAGUAACUAUGCACGUCUUGACGGUACCUAAUCAGAAAGCCACGGCUAACUACGUG